AUUGAACGCUGGCGGCAUGCUUUACACAUGCAAGUCGAACGGUAACAGGGUGCUUGCACCGCUGACGAGUGGCGAACGGGUGAGUAAUGCGUCGGAACGUGCCGAGUAGUGGGGGAUAACGCAGCGAAAGUUGUGCUAAUACCGCAUACGUACUGAGGUAGAAAGUGGGGGACCUUCGGGCCUCACGCUAUUCGAGCGGCCGACGUCUGAUUAGCUAGUAGGUGAGGUAAAGGCUCACCUAGGCGACGAUCAGUAGCGGGUCUGAGAGGAUGGUCCGCCACACGGGGACGGAGAAGCGGCCCAGACUCCUACGGGAGGCAGCAGUGGGGAAUUUUGGACAAUGGGCGAAAGCCUGAUCCAGCCAUGCCGCGUGUCUGAAGAAGGCCUUCGGGUUGUAAAGGACUUUGGUCGGGGAGGAAAUCCCCAGCGUUAAUACCGCUGGGGGAUGACAGUACCUGAAGAAUAAGCACCGGCUAACUACGUGCCAGCCGCCGCCGUAAGAC
rnacentral:rRNA from 1 species